rnacentral:misc_RNA from 1 species
GACCCUCCCCAACCCUUCUCCAAUUGCUGAUAUGCCCAUCUCUAUUGUUGGAACUACUAUCCGACUUCCCAGCUACAAAAAUCCGUUGGGUCAGGUCAAGGAAUCUGCUGGAAUUUUUUUUUUUCUGAUGAAAAUGACUCCUCAAUUGCAGAAGUUUCAGUUUUCUUCAAUGAGGCAUGCUUCCUUCAUUUGAAAUCAUAAUGUGGACUGAUAAAUUACAAAAUAAUAUUGAUGAUUCUAAGGUACAAGAAGAAUUAUGGGAUGCUAUUCAAAAAAUACAAGAUGAAAUUUAUGAUUAUUAUGAACAACUUGAUAAAGUGUGUUAUUUGAUUGAUUUGUAUAGAGGUCCGAACUAUGCUCCUUGUGUUUAAUUUGAUGAGUAUCGAGAUAUUCAACUAAUUUUAUAAUAUAAGGAGAAGCACUCAAACAAUGUAAGAAUGAGUAUUAUGAUCAACAGGCUCAUCAACAAGUUAAAGAUAAAAAAACUUGAAGAAUUUGAAGUAUGGAAAGAUGGACAUCUGUUCCAAUCGAGAGAACAGUUGGACAAAGUAAAAAAUAUUGAGAAUAUAAAAGCAAAAAAAUCUAGAAAAAGCAAACCAACAACAAGAGAAACGUGAAUUUGAAAAGCAAUUUGAGAUUGAAGAUGAAAUUAAAUAGGAGCAACCUGAAGAACCUAAGAUCUAAGAAUCUGAAGAUUUGAGUCUUGAACAUGCACCAGUUAGAAAGCCUAUUCUAGAGCAAGAAGUUGAUGAAAAUGCAAAAGCAAAGCUUGAGGAGGAUAAAUUGCAUAAUAAAGAAGAUCACUUUAUGAAAAUUUCAAUGGAGAUUGAAGAAUAUCAAGUUAUUUCUAUUGAUUUGA